UCCGUAGUUGAACCUUGCGGAGGGAUCAUUACACAAUAUUGGAAAGCGGGGCUGGAAUCCUUUGGGGUUACAGCCUUGCUGAAUUAUUCACCCGUGUCUUUUGCGUACUUCUUGUUUCCUUGGUGGGUUCGCCCACCAUAGGACAAACCAUUAAACCUUUUGUAAUUGCAAUCAGCGUCAGUAAAAAAAUUAAUAAUUACAACUUUUAACAACGGAUCUCUUGGUUCUGGCAUCGAUGAAGAACGCAGCGAAAUGCGAUAAGUAGUGUGAAUUGCAGAAUUCAGUGAAUCAUCGAAUCUUUGAACGCACAUUGCGCCCUUUGGUAUUCCAAAGGGCAUGCCUGUUCGAGCGUCAUUUGUACCCUCAAGCUUUGCUUGGUGUUGGGCGUCUUGUCUCCAGUUCGCUGGAGACUCGCCUUAAAGUAAUUGGCAGCCGGCCUACUGGUUUCGGAGCGCAGCACAAGUCGCGCUCUCUUCCAGCGAAGGUCAGCAUCCACAAAGCCUUUUUUCAACUUUUGACCUCGGAUCAGGUAGGGAUACCCGCUGAACUUAAAACAUAUCAAUAAGCGGAGGA
rnacentral:rRNA from 1 species